rnacentral:lncRNA from 1 species
CUAAGUGGAGGCUGUUGAGAGGGGCUUGGGCCCCAGUGUGGGUGAGCUGUUGCUUCUCGUGAAGAUCCAUGUGACGAGGUCCCCAGGAAACAGCAGCGAAUGGGGAUUGGGGCAGAAGUCACGAGAGGAGGGGGUUGGCCAUGUCUCCAGUCUUGAAUCCUCGUCAAGAGGACACCAAGGGGCCACGGCUGUGUGUCCUGAGGACCAGCCAGGGGGACACUGCCACCCUCCCCUGCCCCCAGCCCUGGCACCGAGCCAAGGAGCGGGCUUCGAUGUAUGGCAGGUUUGUGCUCUGUGGCUGGGUGCCCGGAGGGGCUGGCCCGAGGAACGGAAAUAGCUGGGUUUGGGGAAGUCGCGUGGCUUGGCCAAGCCAAGCCAGCCCGCAAUGUGCUGGGCAGCCCUUGCUGCGGCCCUAUCAAUGCCCCAUUUGAGGCUCACACAGGAGUCCUUUGACAGGGCUGGCUUUGCACCCACUGAGAGGGCCUAUUUGAGCUGGAUGCUCGGAAAGGGUUGGGCUGGGCAGGUGAGGGCUGCCGGGACCGUCUCGCCCUUCGAGGGAAGGAGAGUUGGCCAAAUCGAGCCCAGGUCACCAAGCCAGAGCACCUCAGUUCCCCAGGACUGUGAUGGUAGCAGGAACGGUCCCCCAUAAUUGAGUGGACCCUGCAUGCAUCCUCUCUGUGCCCCACGCUGUAGGCGCUGUGUGAUGAUUAUUCCUGAGGCUCAGUGUGGGCAAGCCUCUUGCCUAUAGUCACGAUCCAUUGAGGGGCAGAGCUGGGGUUGACUCUAACAGGCCUGACUGGAGCCUGAGCUUGUCCCUCUGGUCCUCUCUGGCCCACCUUGUGCACCUCACAAGGCGAACAGAGUGAGGGCAUCAUUCGAGAACCUUGGAAAGCCCUUAAGAUAGGGCCUGAGUUGUAACCGUUGCUGUGUGCCUGGUGGGAGGACAGGCCCGGCUCAGAGCCUGGAACUGCUUGUGAUGGAGGACGGCAUCCACUGUGGGUCCUAGACCAAGGCUGACUGGGAAGUGGUGCAGGCGAGGCAUGCUGGGGGCGUGAACUCAGCAGAGGCCAUGCGGCAGGGACUCAGGAGGCAUUUGGGAAGAAGGACCUGCAGGGCCUGGACAUCAAAGUGAGGGAAAGGGAAGGUCCAGGCUGGCGCCCAGGUUUGGAGAGCAUUUGGGAUGGUGGUGCCCAGGUUUGGAGAGCAUUUGGGAUGGUGGUGCCCAGCUCUGAGCCGAGGACACAGGACACGGGAUGGAAGAGGGUGUGCUGAGUUUUGGGGGUGUUGCAUUUGAGCUAGCUCGGGGGGACACAGGACGGGAAGGGCUGUGGAGCUCAGGACGCAGCUGUGUCUAUAGGUCUGGAGGUCAGGAGAGAGAGGAGGAAGGUGGUUGGGAUAUGAGUGUCAUCUGUGGAUGUGUGGGUGAGAUGUCCUGUGGGUGGGACGUCAGCCAGGUUCCUGGAGGUGCUAACCCUGUUGCGAUGGGCAGCAGGCUGGCAGGGCCGGCCGGCCACAGGGAGCCACAGCCCGAAAUAAAUAGUCUCUCUGGGAAAGUUCUGCUGUCACCUCAGAGGCCCAGGUGGUCCAGGAGGACCCUGGCCUUGCAGCUUCCUCUGCUCCAUACGCCGGGGGACCGUCCAGGCAGGGGGACAGCACGGGCAAAGGUCUGGAGAUGCGACCACAUGGCAGAGGGACACUCCAGCCUGGGUGCCGCCGUCUUACCUCUGACAGCUCACAACGUGCAACGCUCUUUUAAGCGGCAGCAGCAGCAAGAAUCCUGAAAAUCUGCAGACCUGGUCUGUGUGGCUCCAGAGUUUUGAAGCUGAAGGAUGAAACGGGUGAGCUGACCACUGUUGACACAUCUUCAUCUGCUCUUCUCAGCUCUCCAGAGGCUCAGUUCGGAGGCUGGCUGGAGGAUUAUAUUAAAUUCAGGGCUCAGAUCUUUGAGAGGGAAGGAGACAAAUCGAAAUGCCACUGGGGGCUGGAACCGGGCUGGUAAGGGGCUGAAACCCGUGUGUCAUAAAGGAUGGUUGUAGGAAGCGAGGAUGUUUUCAUAAGGGAAGAGUGGACUCAGUGGGGGCGUGACCACGAUCUUCCGGUCGCUGAGCACGGAUCACCAGGAGACCUGCUCGCUCUCAGAGCCAGAUGGAACCCUCGGGGGGUCAGAGGGCUCCCCGUCCGAGAGGCGCUCUGCCAUAGGCUGGACAGCAGCUUUCCCGAGACAGGAGAGAACUUGUGCUGCUUCUGGAAGGUUGGAUGUGACCGGUGGUUGAGUUACAUCAGAGCCACCUAGAGAGCUUAGAAACACGGAUCCACCAGCUCUGGGGUGGAGCCUGGGAAUCUGCAUUUUUCUUUGGAAAAACCUAAAACCAAACUUUGUCGACAAUUUAGAGAUAACUGAAGGAAGUACAAAAUAAGGAAUAACUUGCAAACACAUCAAGGUGAGGCGUCUGCUCAGAGCCCGCAGCUCCCAGCUGGCUCCGGGGUCCUGUUCGGACCCUCCCUUCCUCGCCCUCACCUGCCCUGCCUGUCAGGGGCCUGCUCUCCCCGACCCCCGGGAGGGCCCCAAACACGUCCUGGUCUUGGACCCCCACCCUUGUGAAAGCUUUGCCUUAGCUUCGCCUAAGUUGCCCCCAAAAUAGACCCUGAGACAGAGACUUGCACAGGAAGUUUCUCUGGGGAGGUGGUCUCAGGAAACACAGAGGUCCCGGGAAAGAGGGGAAGUGAGACAGGGAAGGGAUAAAAGCCAGUAAAAAAUGCAUAAAUAAAAGGGUCACCUCUGUGGGGCUCACUGCUGCUUGAUCCCCUGCUGCCCUCCUCACUGUCAGUGUGCAGCUGUAGGGAAAGCCACAGGUGGGCUGCAGGGCCAUGGGGCGGGUCCGCUAGGGUUCCCAGCGCUAAACCCAGGCCUGCCCCCUGCCGCCCCCCAGUGCCCACUCCCUCUUCCAGCGUGAUUGACACUGGGAGCCACUCCCCAGGGAAAGCUCCACCAGCUGCCCCUGGGGGCGUGGGCUCACCCUCUGGCCCCAAGGACGCAUCCAACGCGGUGGCCUCUGUAUUUUUAACACCCUCUCCAGGUGAGCACAAGGGGUGGCCACGCUGGAUUUCCUGGUCUAGAUGACCUUUGAGUUUCCUGCAGAGCCUGACAUUCAAGGUUUCAUGUUUCCCCUAAAACAAGAAGGUGCUGGAGAAACAAUAAACACGGAUGCAGCAUUCAAUACACCUCAUCCUCCUCCAUCCUGUGAUAUUGGCGUUGAGAUCCCGACUUUACAGACACGGGACAGGACAGCAGCCAAGUGAAGGAUUCACCUGAAGUCAGCUGGCAGGUGACAGAAGAGGGACUCAAACUCCGCUCUGUCUGGUUCCGGGGGUUUUUCAUUUCACGAGUUUCCUCCCUGUCUGCAUGCAAGCCCCUGGUGGAAUGCGAGCUAAUUUUGGGGGGGGGGGGUAUGUGGAUGAAAAAGUUAAAUUUAAUUAACUUUGAAUUUAUUUGAAGGCACAUUGUAAUAAAUAUAUAAACUGUACAUCAAACCAGUGAUUUCACGGCUACUAUUUUGUAGGAGGAGGAGAAAUUUUUUCAAAAAGUGCGUUGAUUUAGAGUGAAUUGAAGAGAAGGAUUAACUUGAUAACAGUAAAGCUGUAGGUGGAUCCAGCAAAACCGUGAUGACGGUGGGCGAAGGAUGAAGGGGGCACCCGGCCCUAGACCAGGUGGCACCUCUCGUCCCAGGAGUGCGAGCUCACCAGGUCUGCUGUUGAGGAAAAGACUGGGCGGGGGGCGCAGGGGCGGGCGCUGUGCGCCUUCCGCUGAACCACGCUCUGCUCACGGCCCCUCACUUUAUCACAAACGCUCUCUC